AGCAGUGUGUGAACCGUUGGCGGCGCAACGCCUGAUGGUAUUGAUGCUGCU
rnacentral:pre_miRNA from 1 species